rnacentral:rRNA from 1 species
GGGGAAUAUUGCACAAUGGGGGAAACCCUGAUGCAGCGACGCCGCGUGGAGGAAGAAGGUCUUCGGAUUGUAAACUCCUGUUGUUGAGGAAGAUAAUGACGGUACUCAACAAGGAAGUGACGGCUAACUACGUGCCAGCAGCCGCGGUAAAACGUAGGUCACAAGCGUUGUCCGGAAUUACUGGGUGUAAAGGGAGCGCAGGCGGGAAGACAAGUUGGAAGUGAAAUCCAUGGGCUCAACCCAUGAACUGCUUUCAAAACUGUUUUUCUUGAGUAGUGCAGAAGUAGGCGGAAUUCCCGGUGUAGCGGUGGAAUGCGUAGAUAUCGGGAGGAACACCAGUGGCGAAGGCGGCCUACUGGGCACCAACUGACGCUGAGGCUCGAAAGUGUGGGUAGCAAACAGGAUUAGAUACCCUGGUAGUCCACACUGUAAACGAUGAUUACUAGGUGUUGGGGGAUUGACCCCCUCAGUGCCGCAGUUAACACAAUAAGUAAUCCACCUGGGGAGUACGACCGCAAGGUUGAAACUCAAAGGAAUUGACGGGGGCCCGCACAAGCAGUGGAGUAUGUGGUUUAAUUCGAAGCAACGCGAAGAACCUUACCAGGUCUUGACAUCCGAUGCAUAGCACAGAGAUGUGUGAAAUCCUUCGGGACAUCGAGACAGGUGGUGCAUGGUUGUCGUCAGCUCGUGUCGUGAGAUGUUGGGUUAAGUCCCGCAACGAGCGCAACCCUUAUUGCCAGUUACUACGUUAAGAGGACUCUGGCGAGACUGCCGUUGACAAAACGGAGGAAGGUGGGGAUGACGUCAAAUCAUCAUGCCCUUUAUGACCUGGGCUACACACGUACUACAAUGGCGUUAAACAAAGAGAAGCAAGACCGCGAGGUGGAGCAAAACUCAAAAACAACGUCUCAGUUCAGAUUGCAGGCUGCAACUCGCCUGCAUGAAGUCGGAAUUGCUAGUAAUCGCGGAUCAGCAUGCCGCGGUGAAUACGUUCCCG